AUUGAACGCUGGCGGCAGGCCUAACACAUGCAAGUCGAACGGCAACAGAGUGAGAGCUUGCUCUUACCGGUGGCGUGUCGCGGGCGUGUGUGAAGUCCGUCGGACUCUACGUUGUCGGGGGGUAUCACGUGGGAACACUUACUAUUACAGCGCAUCGUCGCUACACCAAAGAGGGGGACCUUUUGGCCCCUUGCCAUCGGAUAUGCCCAGAUGGGAUUAGCUAGUUGGUGGGGUAACGGCCCACCCAGGCGACGAUCCCUAGCUGGUCUGAGAGGAUGACCAGCCACACUGGAACUGAGACACGGUCCAGACUCCUACGGGAGGCAGCAGUGGGGAAUAUUGGACAAUGGGCGCAAGCCUGAUCCAGCCAUGCCGCGUGUGUGAAGAAGGCCUUCGGGUUGUAAAGCCCUUUUGGUGGGGAAGAAGGGAAGCAGGUUAAUACCCCGACGUAUUGACGGUACCCAAAGAAGAAGCACCGGCUAACUCCGUG
rnacentral:rRNA from 1 species